AGUGAACGCUGGCGGUAGGCCUAACACAUGCAAGUCGAACGGCAGCACAGUAAGAGCUUGCUCUUACGGGUGGCGAGUGGCGGACGGGUGAGGAAUACAUCGGAAUCUACUUUUUCGUGGGGGAUAACGUAGGGAAACUUACGCUAAUACCGCAUACGACCUACGGGUGAAAGCAGGGGAUCUUCGGACCUUGCGCGAUUGAAUGAGCCGAUGUCGGAUUAGCUAGUUGGCGGGGUAAAGGCCCACCAAGGCGAGGAUCCGUAGCUGGUCUGAGAGGAUGAUCAGCCACACUGGAACUGAGACACGGUCCAGACGCCUACGGGAGGCAGCAGUGGGGAAUAUUGGACAAUGGGCGCAAGCCUGAUCCAGCCAUACCGCGUGGGUGAAGAAGGCCUUCGGGUUGUAAAGCCCUUUUGUUGGGAAAGAAAAGCAGCAGGUUAAUACCCCGCUGUUCUGACGGUACCCAAAGAAUAAGCACCGGCUAACUUCGUG
rnacentral:rRNA from 1 species